CUUAUCAAGAGCGGCGGAGGGAACGGCCCGAUGAUGCCCGGCAACCGGCGGGGAACCGUGCGGUGCUAAUUCCGGCGGUACACAGUACCGGCAGAUAAG
rnacentral:ncRNA from 1 species